UACGGGGGGGGCAAGCGUUGUUCGGAAUUACUGGGCGUAAAGGGCUUGUAGGCGGCCAACUAAGUCCGACGUGAAAUCCCCAGGCUUAACCUGGGAACUGCGUCGGAUACUGGAUGGCUUGAAUUCGGGAGAGGGAUGCAGAAUUCCAGGUGUAGCGGUGAAAUGCGUAGAUAUCAGGAAGAACACCUAUGGCGAAGGCAGCACUCUGGGACGGUACUGACGCUGAGACGCGAAAGCGUGGGGAGCGAACAGG
rnacentral:rRNA from 1 species